GCAGUCCGGCCAAGCGCCGCGGAGGGCGCGGGGAUGCGCCGGGCGGCGGCGACCCUCCGCCGCAGGGCGAGGCCCGGGGGGCGCAAGGAGAACGCCAUGCCCACCCCCGGGAACGGCACAGGCAUGUGUGUGCAACUGCAGCAGCCCCUGCAGGGCACCUUCCAAGUACUUCGUGGGGACGGCACUUCUGUGGGGACUGUCAUCGUGUUCCACUGCCCCUCAGGCCACCAGAUGGUGGGGUCUGGCCUCCUCACCUGUGCCUGGAAGGGGAACAUCGCUGAGUGGUCUUCAGGGACCCCCAUGUGCAAGACUGUGCCCCUCUACGAAACCUUUGGCUUCAAGGUGGCUGUGAUCUCCUCAAUCGUCAGCUGCGCCAUCAUCAUGCUCAUGUCCAUGGCCUUCCUCACCUGCUGCUUCGUGAAGUGUGUGAAGAGGAGUGAGCAGCGGCGAUCCGACAGGGCAAACCAACUGUGGCUCCAGCUGAGACACGAGGAUUUGGAGACGGUACAGGCUCCCUACCUCGGCCUUAAGGGCCUCAACAGGUCCAGGAUCCAACCUGUUCAAGUGCACGACAAUCACAGCUUCACCACAGACCUUGGCGAGGGUACCAGAGAGCUGGCCAGCAUGGCCCGAGGCGUGGACAAGGACUUCUGGACCGCCAGUGGCCCCACCAGCUCACCCCGCGCCCAGGUGAUGGUGCAUACAGCAAGCCCAGGGCAGAUCCCGCCUCCCUCCAGGCCAACUGUGAUGCUCAGACAGCCUGCAGCCUAUGUCCCAGGGUGACCAAAGCGGAGGCCCCAGCCUACCCUCCACAGCGGGAAGGCCAGGACGACCUACCAGCUGACACCUGCAUCU
rnacentral:lncRNA from 1 species